rnacentral:rRNA from 1 species
CUGACUGCCGGUGACAAACCGGAGGAAGGUGGGGACGACGUCAAAUCAUCAUGCCCCUUAUGAUUUGGGCUACACACGUGCUACAAUGGACAGGUUACAAAGGGCAGCAACGCCGCGAGGCCAAGCGAAUCCCAUAAAACUGUUCUCAGUUCGGAUUGGAGUCUGCAACUCGACUCCAUGAAGCUGGAAUCGCUAGUAAUCGUAGAUCAGCAUGCUACGGUGAAUACGUUCCCGGGUCUUGUACACACCGCCCGUCACACCACGGAAGUCGAUAACACCUGAAGCCGGUGGGCCAACCAUUUAUGGAGGCAGCCGUCGAAGGUGGGAUGGAUGACUGGGGUG